UAGCAACCUAAGAAUCCAUGCAGUCACUUAUAUCACUGUUAAAAGUUUCUGACUUUUAACCCUCAUGAUCCCCUUAUGCUGCAUAGAGAAAAUGUUCUGAGAUAUUGAAAUUCUAACAGAGGACUUCAAAGCUAUAAAAGAAGACAGAGUCAUAGGCUACAAGGAGCCUGGAUCCCUGAAUGAUCACAUGGAAGGCUGCUAUUGACCAGGAAUCAGACUUCGUGUGAAUGAGAAGUAAACUUUUAUUUUGUUAAGCUACUGA